UACGGGAGGCAGCAGUGGGGAAUAUUGCACAAUGGGCGCAAGCCUGAUGCAGCCAUGCCGCGUGUAUGAAGAAGGCCUUCGGGUUGUAAAGUACUUUCAGUCGUGAGGAAGGUGUUAAGGUUAAUAACCUUAGCAAUUGACGUUAGCGACAGAAGAAGCACCGGCUAACUCCGUGCCAGCAGCCGCGGUAAUACGGAGGAUGCGAGCGUUAAUCGGAAUUACUGGGCGUAAAGGGCACGCAGGCGGUUAAUUAAGUUGGAUGUGAAAUCCCCGGGCUUAACCUGGGAAUGGCAUUCAAGACUGGUUAGCUAGAGUCUUGUAGAGGGGGUUAGAAUUCCAUGUGUAGCGGUGAAAUGCGUAGAGAUGUGGAGGAAUACCGGUGGCGAAGGCGGCCCCUGGGACAAAGACUGACGCUCAUGUGCGAAAGGCGUGGGGAGCGAAACAGGGAUUAGAUACC
rnacentral:rRNA from 1 species